AUGAAACAAGGAGAAAUAUGCACCAUCGAGGUUGUCGACAGUGCAACCGGCAGGCCGCUGGAGCCCCGCAAGAACGCCACCAAGUUUGUCAACCAAUGCGGAGCCGUUGUUAGAGACAACGUCUCGAUCACCGUCCAGGAGUGGAAUAAGCCAAAGAAGGCACGAAUUGCUGGUUUCACUUUUGUCGAUAAGAGAACAAAAAAAGAUUGCUUCAAGAAGCUUAUGGAACAUUUCGUUCUACCUCCGGAAUACAACAAAUUCGAUGAGGAGGGUAACAAGAUUGAGGAAAACAAGGAGAGGAGGAGGCUAGUCAAACAGUUCGCUCUUCAUAAGAUGGCCGACGCAUUCCGGAAAUUCAAGCAAAAUCUAGCCCAUGACUUUGUCAAGCAGAACAAGACUCCGGAUUUCAAAGGACAAUAUGAGUAA
rnacentral:rRNA from 1 species